rnacentral:rRNA from 1 species
UUAGUUCUCGAAGGACCCCAUACUAUAUUUGUGAACGUCUCUAGCCUGUUCAUAGCCACCGACGCAGUCUCGCUAGUGUCUGAAUCACCGCCUCAAGGUGUAAUCGUGUCUCCGCAGCCCUAGAGUUUGAUCAUGGCUCAGAUUGAACGCUGGCGGCAGGCCUAACACAUGCAAGUCGAGCGGAUGAAGGGAGCUUGCUCCUGGAUUCAGCGGCGGACGGGUGAGUAAUGCCUAGGAAUCUGCCUGGUAGUGGGGGAUAACGUCCGGAAACGGGCGCUAAUACCGCAUACGUCCUGAGGGAGAAAGUGGGGGAUCUUCGGACCUCACGCUAUCAGAUGAGCCUAGGUCGGAUUAGCUAGUUGGUGGGGUAAAGGCCUACCAAGGCGACGAUCCGUAACUGGUCUGAGAGGAUGAUCAGUCACACUGGAACUGAGACACGGUCCAGACUCCUACGGGAGGCAGCAGUGGGGAAUAUUGGACAAUGGGCGAAAGCCUGAUCCAGCCAUGCCGCGUGUGUGAAGAAGGUCUUCGGAUUGUAAAGCACUUUAAGUUGGGAGGAAGGGCAGUAAGUUAAUACCUUGCUGUUUUGACGUUACCAACAGAAUAAGCACCGGCUAACUUCGUGCCAGCAGCCGCGGUAAUACGAAGGGUGCAAGCGUUAAUCGGAAUUACUGGGCGUAAAGCGCGCGUAGGUGGUUCAGCAAGUUGGAUGUGAAAUCCCCGGGCUCAACCUGGGAACUGCAUCCAAAACUACUGAGCUAGAGUACGGUAGAGGGUGGUGGAAUUUCCUGUGUAGCGGUGAAAUGCGUAGAUAUAGGAAGGAACACCAGUGGCGAAGGCGACCACCUGGACUGAUACUGACACUGAGGUGCGAAAGCAGUGGGGAGCAAACAGGAUUAGAUACCCUGGUAGUCCACGCCGUAAACGAUGUCGACUAGCCGUUGGGAUCCUUGAGAUCUUAGUGGCGCAGCUAACGCGAUAAGUCGACCGCCUGGGGAGUACGGCCGCAAGGUUAAAACUCAAAUGAAUUGACGGGGGCCCGCACAAGCGGUGGAGCAUGUGGUUUAAUUCGAAGCAACGCGAAGAACCUUACCUGGCCUUGACAUGCUGAGAACUUUCCAGAGAUGGAUUGGUGCCUUCGGGAACUCAGACACAGGUGCUGCAUGGCUGUCGUCAGCUCGUGUCGUGAGAUGUUGGGUUAAGUCCCGUAACGAGCGCAACCCUUGUCCUUAGUUACCAGCACCUCGGGUGGGCACUCUAAGGAGACUGCCGGUGACAAACCGGAGGAAGGUGGGGAUGACGUCAAGUCAUCAUGGCCCUUACGGCCAGGGCUACACACGUGCUACAAUGGUCGGUACAAAGGGUUGCCAAGCCGCGAGGUGGAGCUAAUCCCAUAAAACCGAUCGUAGUCCGGAUCGCAGUCUGCAACUCGACUGCGUGA